CGCGAGGAGCCUCUGUCCUUGCGCCUUUCGCAUCUGUCUCCGCGUACCUUCGAGGGGGCCAUAGUUCUGCGAGGAGCCUUUCUUUCUGUAAGCUCUUUCCCCUUCGCGUUCGUAAAAAUGAAUCAAAAUUUAAGAAAUCUUGAAGUUCAGGACAAAAUUGGGUAUAAACGAUGGGUUCCCACUAGAGAACAGGUUGCCCUAUUAGAGGCACUUUUCGGUUUGGGAUAAGAAACCCGAAUAGGGAGCAAGUACAUGAAAUUGCGACCAGGCUUAAAGUUUACGGGGAAUAUAGUGUUUACUGCUGGUUUCAGAAUUAUGGAUAUCGUGAAAAACAGCGAUUUCUGAAGCGAAGCACCACCACCACGUCUUACUCUCCAAUACCCCUCCUGCCGCCUUUUAUGGAUGGUAAGCCCCCUUUUUUUUGUAUAUUUUUUUUUCUUUUUUGAUUUUUUUUGUUUUCUUUUAUUUUGGAGAUCUUUCACGGGCAGCGCCGUCGAUUCCAGAUCGGGUGACACUAGAUCUUUUUCCGAUCCCUCCCGUCCCAGAAAAAAAUGAGGUCUCUCCCCCUCUUCGGUUCCAGGUGAAGGCUCCUUCUGUUGAACUUUCUCUACGACGGCCUUCUAUUGAUGAAUAGUCUCCUCAUAGAGACUGCAAAUUGUAAUUUUUUUUAUGUGUUUUUUUUCUUUAUUUGGACUGUAAUUUUAACGAUCACCAGUGAUCGACCCCUGAACAUCUUUUAUUUUUAUUAUUAUGUUUUUUUUUUGUUUAAA